rnacentral:tRNA from 1 species
GGGCGAUUGGCUCAGUGGUAGAGCACUGCUUUCACAUAGCAGGGGUCACAGGUUCAAGUCCUGUAUCGCCCACCG